rnacentral:rRNA from 1 species
GACGAACGCUGGCGGCGUGCUUAACACAUGCAAGUCGAACGGAAAGGCCCUGCUUUUGUGGGGUGCUCGAGUGGCGAACGGGUGAGUAACACGUGAGUAACCUGCCCUUGACUUUGGGAUAACUUCAGGAAACUGGGGCUAAUACCGGAUAGGAGCUCCUGCUGUAUGGUGGGGGUUGGAAAGUUUAGGCGGUUGGGGAUGGACUCGCGGCUUAUCAGCUUGUUGGUGGGGUAGUGGGUUACCAAGGCUUUGACGGGUAGCAGGCCUGAUAGGGUGACCUGCCACAUUGGGACUGAGAUACGGCCCAGACUCCUACGGGAGGCAGCAGUGGGGAAUAUUGCACAAUGGGCGGAAGCCUGAUGCAACAACGCCGCGUGCGGGAUGACGGCCUUCGGUUUGUAUACCGCUUUCGCCUGUGACGAAGCGUGAGUGACGGUAAUGGGUAAAGAAGCACCGGCUAACUACGUG